rnacentral:rRNA from 1 species
AUUGAACGCUGGCGGCAGGCCUAACACAUGCAAGUCGAGCGGAUGAAGGGAGCUUGCUCCUGGAUUCAGCGGCGGACGGGUGAGUAAUGCCUAGGAAUCUGCCUGGUAGUGGGGGAUAACGUCCGGAGACGGGCGCUAAUACCGCAUACGUCCUGAGGGAGAAAGUGGGGGAUCUUCGGACCUCACGCUAUCAGAUGAGCCUAGGUCGGAUUAGCUAGUUGGUGGGGUAAAGGCCUACCAAGGCGACGAUCCGUAACUGGUCUGAGAGGAUGAUCAGUCACACUGGAACUGAGACACGGUCCAGACUCCUACGGGAGGCAGCAGUGGGGAAUAUUGGACAAUGGGCGAAAGCCUGAUCCAGCCAUGCCGCGUGUGUGAAAAAGGUCUUCGGAUUGUAAAGCACUUUAAGUUGGGAGGAAGGGCAGUAAGUUAAUACCUUGCUGUUUUGACGUUACCAACAGAAUAAGCACCGGCUAACUUCGUG